UACGAAGGGGGCUAGCGUUGCUCGGAAUUACUGGGCGUAAAGGGAGCGUAGGCGGAUAGUUUAGUCAGAGGUGAAAGCCCAGGGCUCAACCUUGGAAUUGCCUUUGAUACUGGCUGUCUUGAGUAUGGGAGAGGUGUGUGGAACUCCGAGUGUAGAGGUGAAAUUCGUAGAUAUUCGCAAGAACACCAGUGGCGAAGGCGGCUCACUGGUCCGGUACUGACGCUGAGGUGCGAAAGCGUGGGGAGCAAACAGG
rnacentral:rRNA from 1 species